UAGGGAAUCUUCCGCAAUGGACGCAAGUCUGACGGAGCAACGCCGCGUGAGUGAAGAAGGAUUUCGGUUCGUAAAACUCUGUUGUUAGAGAAGAACAGCGCAUAGAGUAACUGUUAUGCGUGUGACGGUAUCUAACCAGAAAGCCACGGCUAACUACGUGCCAGCAGCCGCGGUAAUACGUAGGUCCCGAGCGUUGUCCGGAUUUAUUGGGCGUAAAGCGAGCGCAGGCGGUUAGAUAAGUCUGAAGUUAAAGGCAGUGGCUCAACCAUUGUAGGCUUUGGAAACUGUUUAACUUGAGUGCAGAAGGGGAGAGUGGAAUUCCAUGUGUAGCGGUGAAAUGCGUAGAUAUAUGGAGGAACACCGGUGGCGAAAGCGGCUCUCUGGUCUGUAACUGACGAUGAGGCUCGAAAGCGUGGGGAGCGAACAGG
rnacentral:rRNA from 1 species